rnacentral:misc_RNA from 1 species
UAUCAACUGAGUCCACGAUACACCAUUUCUGCUCUGAUUCACACACUGUUCCCGCACGGAAUACUUCGUUGGAAUAUUUAUCAAUUUUUCACAGCUUUUAAUUUCAAAGAAUAAUUAUAAAAGUAUCACGUAUCAUAGAUACCUAUGCGUAGAGUAAUAGCCUGGCAGCAGAAGUCACGUGAAGCAUGUGUCAAACGGUCGUCCGUCCUUUUCGUUAUGCCUGACGUACGCCGUCGUACCCGAUAGAUCGCAAUAGUUUAAUUACAUAAUUAAGAAGCUAAGAAUUUAAUUCGUUCUAAUUAGGGGGAGCCUUGGUGCACACGACCUCUUGCGCGUGGAAUCCACGAAGGAAUGAACGAACGCUGGUCGAUUCCGAAAAAAAGGCAUUAAACUGUAACUCGGAACACGGAGCUUAUGAGUAUUGUAAAAAUUACCGCCUACGGACGGAGACCUUCUGGGAACGGCGAUAUUCUUUUCCGUUGGAAAAUCUAAACGCGAGUCGCAGGUACUCGUGGCCCGAUGUUUUCGACUCGGAUGAUAGAGCGAUUGCAUAUCUUUGGAUCAAUGCCGUUCUAUGGAGCAAGAUUCAUUUUCUGACAUUUCCCAACGAAGUUUCGUACUCCGAAGUAAACCCGCUCCACGUACGUUACAUUCCAUGAAUUCAACCCAGAGCAGCAGCAGCAGCAGCAGCAGCAGCAGCAUCCCCCGGUCAUUCCUUUGUCGCCAUAUUUGAACAGAUCGUAAAGUUAAACGUCAAAACUACGCAGACUCGUGGUUGCCCUAUAGUAAAAC